rnacentral:rRNA from 1 species
UACGGAGGGGGCUAGCGUUGUUCGGAUUCACUGGGCGUAAAGGGUGCGUAGGUGGCGGGGUAAGUUUGAUGUGAAAGCUCCGAGCUUAACUCGGAAAUUGCAUUGAAUACUAUCCUGCUAGAGGGUUGAAGGGGGGGACUGGAAUUCUCGGUGUAGCAGUGAAAUGCGUAGAUAUCGAGAGGAGCACCGGUGGCGAAGGCGGCGUCUGGACGAUGGACUGACGCUGAGACGCGAAAGCGUGGGGAGCAAACAGG